rnacentral:tRNA from 1 species
CCGACCUUAGCUCAGUUGGUAGAGCGGAGGACUGUAGUUUGACGCAGAGAAAUCCUUAGGUCGCUGGUUCGAAUCCGGCAGGUCGGA